rnacentral:rRNA from 1 species
UACGUAGGGAGCAAGCGUUGUUCGGAUUUACUGGGCGUAAAGGGCGCGUAGGCGGCGCGGUAAGUCACUUGUGAAAUCUCUGAGCUUAACUCAGAACGGCCAAGUGAUACUGCAGUGCUAGAGUGCAGAAGGGGCAAUCGGAAUUCUUGGUGUAGCGGUGAAAUGCGUAGAUAUCAAGAGGAACACCUGAGGUGAAGACGGGUUGCUAGGCUGACACUGACGCUGAGGCGCGAAAGCCAGGGGAGCAAACAGG